GAAGUGCGAAUCACGUGACAUAUAUCGUGCAAUGAAUUCGUAUUCACUCAGUCAGUAGCUAGUACAUGCAGUUCGCAGUCGUCAGAGGACAAAGAAAGGGAACACAAAGGGAGGAAGGAAGCUUGGGAGUCAGAGACUCAAACAUUCCCAUGGAAAUGUGAAAUGGUGCCAGUCCUUGAGUAGGGAACCAAACACGGUGCAAGUCCUUCAGUAUGUCCCCUGCCUUCAGUUUUCAAGACCUCUAUUGCUGGUGUCUUCACUUAUUUCGAAACCAACAUUGUUUGGAGAGACUGGCAAAAAAUGACAGAUGAAUAAAACUACAACAACAGCAGUUACGCCAACAUCAGAUCAGCUAACCGACACUGAACUACCAGUAGAUACUGGAAAUUUGCAGCAGGACGAAAAGGUGCACCACAGCAUUGAAUAACUUCCAGCUGGAGCUUGUCUACCAAUUUCUGCAGUUCAUUUGAACCAUUUGUAUAGUCAACACCAUAUUUCAGGCUGGUGAGUCAGUGGUUGAUCAUCUACAUCAAGAAAUGAGGAGACUUCUUUGUUUGUUCGGUUUGCCGUCACUUCAGUCUACUGUCCUGAGAAUCACAAUGGCGAUGACCUAGUUGUCAGAAUGGGAACCAGAAUAUACUCUAUUAAAAACCCAAGACAUCCUCAUUCUUCAAGUCUGUGCUAGGGUUCAUGGAGGUCAUAGCCAAGACAAUACAGAUAAUGCAAACAAAGACCAAACUGAUGGAUAAAGUAUCCGCUAAUUCAUUUGUGUCCCUUGCUUAGAGCUGCUUCCCAUGGAACUUUUUCACGAAGUCAUUGACUGUCGAUGUGGCAUGAAAGGGAAUGCAUGGAUCAAACCAAGUUUCUUGCAGGUGGAAGAGCCGCGAAUACCGGUGCGAGUCAAGUGUUGAAUUUUCCACAAAAUAACACAGAUUCUGAGCAUUGUUUCUCUCUGGUCAGAAAUAAUAGUAGUAACUUAAAAAUGAUCUAUUUCCCUUCUGUAAGUGACUGAAUGCCACCAUGGAUCUACUGGCAAGCUGAAGAUAAAGAUAAUUAAACUUAUUGAAUAUGGCAUUAAAGAAUACUCAGUUGUGAUAGUGAAAUAGGCAUUAAAAAUAAUAAGAUCAAGUACAAAUUUGAUGGUUCAUGAUUGACAUUAACACUUACUGAAUGUAAAACAAAAGGAUUUUAAAGUUUGACAGUGAAAUGGACAUUAAAUCUUAAAGAUCGAGUUCAAAAAUGGUUGUUUAAAGAAAGAUACUGAAAAGAUCAACACCAGCGUGAUAACAACAAUGUUAGUUUAUUUUAUAGUGUUUCAGACCUGAUCAUCAAUACAAAUUUCAAUGUUGUA
rnacentral:lncRNA from 1 species